GACAGUUCACCAACGCCACCUUCUUUUGCAAUUUCAUUUGGCCAAGUCAGUGCAAGACAGACUAGGGCCUUCACAGCUCUCUGCUGCAAAAUUGGUAUACCAGAACCAAGGACCCGUACCAAGGGACCAAUCACUUGAUGGAUAACUGGGUCCUUCUGCAGGUGCUCUUCCAAAAGCAGGUGAGACAGAAGCUCAGCAGCCAGUUGUUGCACGGCAGAAGCAGGAGAAUCAAGUAAAUGAGAAAUGGAAGUGUACUUGAAACUAACUGGGUCCUUCUGCAAGUGCUCUUCCAAAAGCAGGUGAGACAGAAGCUCAGCAGCCAGUUGUUGCACGGCAGAAGCAGGAGAAUCAAGUAAGGGAAUAAGAGGUUCUAUAGCUUGGUGAGAUGUCAAGGUAUAAUCAGCGCGGCACUGCGGAUGCUCUAGGAUAUUCACAAGGACCUGCAGCGUGCUGUGUUGCCCAUCAGGUCCAAACUCCGGUCUCGUCAGCAACACAAAAAGAGGCUCUACCACCUUUGCAGCAGAUGGUCCCUUAGCAAUGGUAGCAUUAUUCGUCAGUAUUCUGAGUAAUUCAGCAAAUGCAGCACAGAGGAAGUCUGGUACUUCAUGCAGAAUGUCAAGUACACUCUCGAUAACCCCAGCCUUGACCAUUUCCAUCUUACAGGAAGGCCUGUCUUUCCCCAACUUAACAAGAGCUCUAGAAAUAGCCUCAUGAAUUAAAUAGUUUCUGCCAUAAAGAAGGCCAACAAGGGGAAUGACUGCACCAUGUGCUGCAACUAGUUCAGCCAGCUGUUCAUCGUCCACUAGUUUAUCUAAUGCACGGACAACAGAAUAAUGUGCAGGACUAAAUUCAGUAACAAGAAGAGAAACCAAAGGCUCCACGCACCUAGCUGCAGCCAUUGUAGACCUUAUUCUUGUAUUUCCGAACAGAACAGAACACAACUCGGCUGCAGCACCCUUCAGCUCCAUUGAGCAGCCUGAUGAAAGAAUCCGGCAAAGAACAUCUACAGCGUUCAUCUCAACAUCUGCAACUGCAAGUGCUUUUGAAGGAUUCUCACUGAGAAGCCUAACUAAUGCAGCAAUGGCUGCAUGCUGCUCCCUCUCUAGACCAGUAUUUAGAAUCUCAACCAAAGGCUGAACAGACUGUCUAGCUGAUUCUGCAUUCCUGAUGUGAUCUGCAGAGAAUAGGUUUUCCAAGGCUUUGGCAGCACUAUACCUUGCCCCUCUUCCACCUGAGAAUAGGUUUUCCAGGGCUUUGGCAGCACUAUACCUUGCCCCUCUUCCACCAAGACGUAAAACUGCAAUUAGCUGACCAACAGCACCAAAAGCAGAUUCGUGCCUGCAUAUUUCAGCAGUAGUAAAUAGGAUACCUAAUAAAUCAGUGGCAGCCUCCUCAGUUGCAUCUUGUGGGCCAAGUGAAAGGUAUUUAGUCAAUGCUUCCAGAACCCCAGAUUCCACCAUAACAAUCUUAUUUGAAGGACAAUCUUUGGCAAGCUGAAUCAGAAGUCCAAGAGCUAGAAAAGGGGCACCAGGACGAUCUGGGAUAGGUUUUAGCAAGUCAACAAGGGCUGGUAUAGCUUUCCUAGAAGUUGCACCAACCCUCUAGAAAAGGCGCACCAGGACGAUCUGGAAUAGGCUUUAGGAAGUCAACAAGGGCUGGUAUAGCUUUUCUAGAAGUUGCACCAACCUUUAUAUCAUCGACCCUGAACAACCUCUCAAGUGCAACUUGAUCUGGGUUACGGACCAAGGCAAAUUCCUCCGAUAGUGCAACAAGGUCCUUUAUAUCCUCAUCAGCACAACCAAGCAAUGUUAUGAGUCCUGAUGGUGCACCUGAAUUUGCAACAGACAACAGAGUUCCCCUGCUACCAUUACAGACAAGGCUGGCUACAGCUUGUGCGGCGAAAUACCUGUUUGCUGACUCUUCUGACUUCAGCAAAUUACCUAGCACAGGUAUAGCUUUCAUUGUUCCAUGUGCUCGUAUGAUGUCUCUAUCUUGAAAUAAGAUAGCCAGAAGCAAUCCACAAAUCCAUAUGCUGCUGUCCUCCUUGAAAUCAAUCUGUAAAAGUAUUAACAAAGGUCAUAUAGUGCAUUGGAACAAGAUAAAUACCAUAACAAAUUCAAGAGUCUUGGUUAGAUGUGGUUUUAUCACAGAAAGAAAGCACUUCAACUAAAGAUAGUACUUACCUGUGUAAACUGAGUAAAAGAUUGAGUAAUUCUCUCUGUAAGAACUUCAAUUGCACCAGCCUCCAUAAUCUCAACUUUACUUUGGUCAUCGCGACUUGCAAGAGCUGAAAGUAGCCAUAUAGCUAUAUUGACCCCGGAAACAACUGAAGUACUUUUCUCCGUCUCAUCCUUUCUUGAUUCUUCUUCAGCAUCCCUGGAGAUGCUAAUCGCAAUCUUACCCCCCUGGUCCUCCAAAUGUAGAGACUCUGAAGCAUUUAGCAUCCCAACAAAAGAUUGAAUGAGUGGAACACAGGACUUUGAUUCAUUUAAAUCUUCCACCACUCUUUGAUGAUUCACUUUUGCAGCGCAAACAAGAAGUGCACUUCCUCCUAUUUUAACCAAAGCAUUGGAGGAACAGAUUACCCUUCUUGCAACUGAAGAAAUGCAUCCAUAGGCACAAGCAAUAGAAUCGCCAAGAACAGCGGGCUGAGCUUGGCAGAGUCUUGACAAUAUCUCAAUAGCUUUGUCUUGCAAAAAAUUACCCUCCUUGCAAUUGAAGAAAUGCAUCCAUAGGCACAAGCAAUAGCAUCGCCAAGGACAGUGGGCUGAGCUUGGCAGAGUCUUGACAAUAUCUCAAUAGCUUUGUCUUGCAAAACUGGUGAGGCAUCAGCAAUGCAUGAAACUACUGGAAUUAUGCUAUUAGGGUAUUCAGCUAGAACUGCCCAUGCAGGUUUGAUACCACUAGCUCCUUCCAGCCUUAAAAGGAAACAAAGUGCAUCUAGAGCUUCUGAUAUAGCAAGAGAGUCACUGCCAGUUGAUUCUAGGAAAGAAACUAAUGCAAGAACUGUUACACAACGGUUAACACAAUCAGUUAAGGCAGGAUUAACCUGACUAAAUUGAAGAAGACGAGCAAUUGCUGCAGCAGCAUGGGUCCUUCCACCAGUUGUGCCUUCACGAAGAACUCUAGUAGCAGGCAAGAUAAUCUCUUCAGGGAUUGCUUUCUCAGACACCUCCGGAUCCAAAAGAAGAUUGGACAAAGCACAUACUGCUUGCUCUGCAACUUGCAAGACUGAGGACUUUGCAAGCACCAUUAAUGAAGGCAAUGCAUCUCUAGCAAUUGCUGCAAUGUCACGGCUUUCUCUAAUAGAGAGAAAUAUCGCAGCAAGGCAGCGCGACGCAUCCACUAAGAUGGUUUCAGGUUCAGCAUUCAGAAGCUUCACGAGUGACCACAAAGUUUUGACAGCAAGGCUACUUUCUCGCAAGUCCUUCCUGAGAUGGAAAAUUCCAGCAAGAGCUGAAGCAGACUUGGCCUGAGUCUCUUCCUUGGUGGAGCUUAAUAUCUUUAUCAUCGUCUCAACUGCAUCAUUUGCUGCACUACCUUCACGCAACAUAUCGCUCAGAGGGGCCACAGAGAGCAAACUUUUUAAUGCAUCUAAGACAUAAAUCUUAGACUCUGGAAGAUCACUAGUCAAUAGUGCAGUGAGUUGACUAAUAGUUGCAGUAUCUGAUUUGUGAAUCAAAUGGUUCAGUGUCUUUGCAGCAAUUUCCUUCCCGUUGGAGCUACCAUUCUUCAGAAGCCACAAUAAAGCAGGAACAGCAUCAGCACUUUCAACACACGCACGGAUAUCUUCACUGUGAUUACAGAGGUUUCCAAGGAUAGUUGCCGCAUCUUCCUUAGCUUUUGCAGACCCAGUUUCCAGAAUUUGAACAAGUGGAGGUAUGCCACCAGCUGCUGUAAUGGCCCACUUACUUUCAUCAUUCUCAUUGGAUAAAAGACAAAGAAGAGCAACAGCACACUCCUGCUGCUGCUCUGAUGAGAGACCAAGAAGUGAGAUUAACAGCUGAAUUCCCUCACGACCUUGUAGUGCAUGCCAUAAGCUGCCUUCAUUUUUGCAUAGGAAGAGAAGAGACCUUAUCAACUCAUCCUGAACUUCAUUCGUGGCCAUUGUGAUCAAACCAACCAAUAAGCGUUUUGCAUCAGAAUUCGCAAGUUUGCUAGAUAGUACAGCAUUCCCGUACAAACUGGCAAGUGCUUCAAUAGUACGCUCCUGCACUAGAAAGGGUAAGCGGGCCUUAAAUUGCUUAACCAAUGUUUCUUCCACCUCCAAAGGAUCUGAUGCUCUUGAAUUUUCUGCUUUGCUAUCAUAUAUCAUGAGAGCCGAAGCUAAAGCUCCCACCACGGAGUAUAGGGAAAGGAAAUUUACCAGUGAUAGCCCUGACAGUUUCACUUGAAGCAUACUCUUGAAUGGUAUUAUUGGAAAAGAGAAGUUUAAUGAACAUUGACGAGAUUCAAGGCUUUGACCAAGACUUGAAAUGACAUAUGACAAGCCACCAGAAAUAUUUGCAAGGGCACACAUUGCAUUCUCCUGCAAAGCUUGGGCGUAUUCACCCUGCAUGAAUUCCUUUGAAGGAGCUAUGGUAGCAUUUAUCAGAGCAGGAAUACCAUUGGAAUUUGCUAUUUCCUUCCUGGAUUCUUUGCUUCGGGCAGAAAGAGAUUUAAGAGCACCUGCAGCUUCUGCUCUAACUGGGGCUUCAUUGCCAGAUCCAAGUAGUUUAAGAAGUUGUUUGGUGGCCUCUGCAGCUAAGACUCUCGCGCAAACAGAAGAAUCCUCCAUCAUCAUACAAGCAAGGAGAAAGCAGACAUUUGCCUGAGUACUUGGCUGUCCAUUAUUCAGUAGUUUAACAAGUAUAUCCACUCCUCCAGCCUGUACUGUUGCAGACCAGAAUCCCUCGGUGCUGGUUGAAAGGUUUUUCAAAGCUGCUUCCAGCUUGUACUGUUGCAGACCAGAAUCCCUCAGUGCUGGUUGAAAGGUUUUUUAAAGCUCCUGUUAGCAAGUCGUCAACUAUGUUUCCAGCUUUUAGUCCCUUUUUUAAUUGCUCCCACAAUACUGGCACAACUCCUUCAGUUGAAAAUAUUUUUGAGCCAACAUGAUCCUUUGCACCACCUUGAGACACGGCAUAUAUGGUUUUUGCUGCGGCAAUUUGACUUUCAGCUGAACUUGACUUGAGAAGACCAAGGAGCGGCGGGAUGCAACCACCUAAUAGUACUUUCACUCGCAGUUCAUUCUCUUUACAAAGAGAACCCAAAAAUGUAGCAGCCUGCAUCUUUACCCCAAGUGAGCCAGAACGAAGUAAAGAAACAAGUACUGGAACAGCUUGAGAAUGUGAGCCAACAGCACUAAAUGCAUUUUCUCGUGUAUCAAUAAGCUCCAACAAUUGCUUAAGCGAAUGUUCUUUCUCCUGCAUGGAUGACGACAGCUUGAGAAUGUGAGCCAACAGCACUAAAUGCAUUUUCUCUUGUAUCAAUAAGCUCCAACAAUUGCUUAAGUGAAUGUUCUUUCUCCUGCAUGGAUGACGAAUUCUGCCGUAACUGCUCAAUGCAUUGAGCAACACUUGCUAACGUCCCAUCUGGAUCCUCCAUGCUACUACGAUCUCUGUACAAUUUAAUAGCAAAACGUUCUUUCAGGUUAUGUUUGUAGUCUAAAUCAGCCAUGAAUAUUAUCGUGUAAAAUGGUCAUUUGGGCCAUGAGGUUAGAAAAGCUGCAUGAUUCUAAAUGAUAGUACUACAAUAUUUGUUCAACUGCUGCUUUUCUUACUGAUAACAACUUUCAUCAGAUUAGUAUCUUACAACAGAAAACAAAGUACAGGAUAUAGUCAACUGUAGUUUAAAUAUUUUCAGUUUUAAAAUGUAACAGCAAGGACCAGCAAUUUCAAAGCAGAACGAAUCAAUUUUGCAGCUUGGAUAAUCUACGCUAUCUGUGGAGGAAAGGUGAAACAAUGGAAGCUUAUGCAUGAUUUAAGUUUUGUGCAAGUGCAACUGAUGCAUGUUGGAGUCAUGGAAAUAUGCAUACUGCAUUGGGAUAAAACUAAUGGAUUCUUACAAACAAAAAGAAGAAUCUGGUACACAAGUUUAACCGACUCCUCAUGACGUAUAGGAAACAGUAGCAGCAUUUGCAGAUAUCAAUUCCAUGAGAAAAGAGCAACAGAUGGAGUUUUGCAAGGAAAAGUGUGUUUUCGUUUUCCUCAUGCAGUCAUGCUUAUAGCAAAAAAAAAAAGCAUCUACUGACUAUACAGCUAAAUGCGACCCAUCGAGUAAAACACAAGCCAUAGAACAGAUCAUUAUGAGCCCCUAAACUGAAAUCGUCAGUGAUUAGACUAACCUUGAAGAUGUUUUCAUGAUUGAAUGUGGAGUUGGAGGCUCCAUAUCAUGAGGUUUGGCAUCCCCAUUUCUUUCCUGAAAAAAAAAAAGAAUUGAUAGAUAUUGGUGAGGAAUGUUUCACGAAUCUGCGAAAUCAAAGCGAAUCCGGUGAUGUCAUUCGAGAAGGAAAAUGUCAACCAUAAACAGCAUGACUAAUAUCUUCAAGAAAACAGCUAACUUUACGACUCAACAAAGUAAGUAAAGAUGUAUAAACCUAUUAACUUUUUUCCUCUCAGUGAUGGAAUCACUGAAAUAUAGAUUCGAGACGCAGCAUAGAGCCAGUGAUGCAACCCCUUUCAAUUUAAAAUGCUUACAUGUUUGUACAUGAUACGGACAGAUUCUUCAACAAAAAGAAAUGCAAAAGGAACUAUCCCCCUCCCAUUUCACAAGGCAAGUUCAGAGGAAAAAGCAAGUAGAACAGUGACAUCCAUCCGGAUUUAGCUAUGGAGUAAUACGUACUUACUUAGAACAAGUCGACUGAAAAAUAAAUCGCAUAACAAUUUCAAUUGAAAACAAAGUAUACCAACACCAUGAUUGCACAUAAAACUACUAGUAAAGACCACCCAGGUAGAGUGAAAUGCACCAACGCGUAUUUUCGAUCUUUGAGUAAAACCAAUUCAACAGCUCACAUAUCAAAUAAACCCCAGAAAAUUUAUUAAAUCAGUUGCUUUUUCUUCUAAAAAAAGGGGAACUUUACCAUAUCAUUACUGGCUAGACUGCUGCCAUUGGCAGCAGUGAACCUCCAAGCAAGUGCGGCCGCCAGCUUUGCUGUGAUCUCAAGAUCUUCGUAGCAGAUCUACCUCCAAGACACAGAAGAAAGCUAACAGCCUCCUGCAGACCACCAGUAAAAUAAACAUUUAUUACAAAACUUCUGGAGAAAACCCAAAAUAAAAUUAGCUCAAUUAAGAAAUGAAGUGUUUUUGUCAUACAUUAACAAACGAUACAGAUCAAAUUGUAAUGGCCUAGUUUUUAGCAAUGAUAGUACCACUAGAAUUACUUGGCUCGUUUUUAUUUUUUUCCUUAAUUUUGAGCAGUGAAUUAGUUGACUAGUUCAAAGCAAAAACUAACCAAAAUUCACAUAUGGAAAUCACAUAAAUCUGAGAUCAGAUUCAGCAAUAAAUUGAACUAAACACGAAUGCCCAGUUUAGAUUACAACAAUCUCAAACCAAAUCCUACAAAAUUGAUCCAAGAAAUCUCAAGAUCCAGAUCACACACUAUUAAAGCUCACACCUUUACCUCAAAAAACGAAACCCCAGAUGGGUUUUUCAAUUAAAACAAAAACCCACAUACACAUUUCACCAAGGUUUAUACGGUUUUUUUCAAAUAUAGCCAAAAGAUCUAGUGAAUUGAACCUUUUAAGACUAUAGCAUACAGAAAACCAGCAAAAAUCUUGAUAAUAAAGAAUGCAGAAAGACAGAAUAGAGAGAUAGAGAAAAAGAUAAGACCUUGGAUCUUAGGCUUGUCUAUUGUUAUUGCAUUUGGGGGAAAGAGUGAGGUUUCGUAGUAGAGAGGAAAGAAGAAUAUGUAUGGAGUACCUCAAAAAACAAAACCCCAGAUGGGUUUUUCCAUUAAAACCAAAACCCACAUGCACAUUUCACCUAGGUUUGUACAGCUUUUACAAAUAUAGCCAAAAGAUCUAAGACUAUAGCAUAUAGAAAAGCAGCAAAAUCUUGAUAAUAAAGAAUGCAGAAAGACAGAAUAGAGAGAGAGUAAAAGAUAAGACCUUGGAUCUUAGGCUUGUCUUUUGUUAUUUAUUGCAUUUGGUGGAAAGAGUGAGGUUUCGUAGUAGAGAAGCGAAGAGAGGAAAGAAGAAUAUGUAUGAAGGAGUUAGAGAGAGAAAGAGAGAUACAGCAUUAUAUUAUGUGUAUAUUUUGUGUGUGUGUGUGAGCUAGCUACAGUAGUAGCCAGAAAGAAGAAGAAGAAGUAAGAAGGACCACCGACAGACAGCUGAGAAUGGAAAUAGCUCAAGCUUUGGAGCUAGCAAGCUGCCUUUCUUCGAAUUUUUCCUCUUCGACUUCCUUUUUUUACUUUCUCGACUUUAGGCUUACGUUACGUUCCAUUUUGGUUAGGCUUUUUUACCUGAAACUGAAUACUCCAUUUUUUUUUAAUUUAAAUUCGGUAAAAUGGAGAUUGGAGUGUGAUACAGAAACUUAAAUGGAUGAGGCUCAAAUAUUACAUCUUAAGAAUAUAAAUUAGAAGUCUUAUGUUUUAGAUAUAUAUAUCACUGCAACUUGUUAUGAACACAAGCUGUUCCGAGACCCACUUCGUCUAAGCAACGAUCACAAGUCGAUCGAUAAAUGCAACACUAAGAUAUAGGGAUACGAUUCAAGUGAAAAAGUUACUUUGUUUCAAUUUAUGUGAAUAUAUUCUUUUUAAUUUGUGCUAAAAAGAAUGACUUCUUCUAUAUUUAAAAAUAAUUUAUCUUUAUAUGAUAAUUUAUAGCCACACAACAUAUAUAUAUACCUUAUUUUAUAUUACACGUUCAAAAAUCUUUUAUAUUUUUAAAUUUCAUCUCCAGUCAAAUAGAUUCACAUAAAUUUAAAUAGAAUGAGUAUAAAAUUUGUGAAGCAAAGAGACAUAAACCUUAAGGAGAAGUAUUAUCAAGGUAAAAACUGUUGUCAUGUGUGAUAAGGAUGUUUGACUCAAAAGAUAUAUAAACCUCUUUGAACAAAUCAAUCGAAAAAUAAGGGGUAAAUCUUAGCUGAGUAUAAUAAAUACUAGAAAAAGUGAUUGAUGAAGAUAUGAUCGUCAAUAGAUUUCCUUUGGUUCUCAAGUAAUAUUUUUCUUACAGAGUUUCCUCUCCCCUUACAAAGUUUUAUUGUCCGUCGUAUAUACUAGAGAGAGACAGUCUAAAAUGUCAAAAACAAAUUACCGAAAAUAUUCGAUGGAAUAUUCUCAAUGUCCCCUAAUGGCUUACAAUACUACAAGGGUCGUACGGCCUCUUCUUUUGUUCGAAGAUCGCCUCUUUCGGGACAUCGACUCGAAGGUACCCGAUCGUUUGUCGUACAUGUCAUAGGUCGUAGUUGGUCAAAUUUGGACCCAUACAGUUAGUCCCUCCGCUUGUCGGGGUUGCAAACGGAGGCGUCCUCGAUGAGCAGACUUCACCCACUCUCUUGGAGGAAUUUGACCCGUUGAAACAUUACGACAUGAUCAGCAGGGGAUGGUAAUCAUGUUCAGCAAAACAUCAGGUGGUACAUUUCACCGGGAAAUGAUGUCAGCUCUACGUGCGUCAUCAUUAUACGUGUUUUUUAGGCAAGGAUUUGACGGCUUGAUGCUUCAAUUCUUGUGCAGCUUUGAGACCUGCCGCCUCGAUUAUGGUGCCAUCCAACCCUAUAAAUAGGCGGGGAUUUGUUUUUCCGAAGAACUUUAGCCAUUUCUCUCCUGAAAACCCCUUUCACUCUUCCUCAUUUGCUCUCAUAUCUUUUUGUUUCUUCUUUUGUUCUUCAACUGAAGCUUCUACUUUCUUCUUCCUCGUUAAUAUUCCUUUGAUUGAUAUCAUGUCAAUGUCUCGUCGUUCUCAUGAAAAGGUUCCUCAAUCCACCCCUUCGUCCACAGUGCCUCCUUCUUACAGCGGGGAUAUAGUGGUAGAAGAGGCUGACGGCCUUCUAACGGUGGGGGAUUUACUACCGAGACACCCUUUAUCUCGGAGUGACUUCCUCAAAGAUCCUCUUUCCACCCCAAACCCUGUAUUUUCUGAGACUGAGCAGGUUCAUCUUGAUUCCUUUUGUGUAAAGUAUGGUAUUCAUGCCCAUAUAGAAAUGGUUACAGCGGAAGAGAUUAUGUGGACGUCCACAGACCGUGUUACUACGAUUUCUAUAAGUACCCUUUUAUGAUUGGCUAUACUCUUCCUCUCUUCCCUUUGGCAGAGGAAUUCUGUAGAUUCUACCAAGUUUGACCAGCACAACUUUCACCAUAUACACUCAAGGUGCUUCUGCUACUGACCAAAUAUGCAGAGUUGGGGGAGUGUUUCUAUCCACCACCUUUUGUACCUGUUUACGCCUGGCUUCCUCAGAGGCACCAUAGUGUAUUUGAGGCUUUGUGGCACGAAAGGGCUGGUGGUCGGAACAGGUGAUUGGGCAAGCCGCAACUUUUGGCAUAAAUACUUCUUUGUCAAGAUAGAGCAUGUGGUUUCUGAUCCUGCCAGAAUCCCUUGUGCGCCGCUCCUGAAAGAGAGAUGCUUAAGGCUAUGAGCGACAUGGAGUUGUCUCAAAAGGUUGUUGGUAUGGCCUUGCAAGUAGAUGCCUUGUCUUUUUCUUUCGUCAUUGGGUUUGUGCGGUAAUCGUUGUUCCGUAUUUUUGGUUUUAACUUUUCCCUUUCUCUUUUAUCAGACCCUCGUCAUAGAGUUUGAAUGGGAUCGUCGGGAUAGGAGAUGGACGGGCCUUUAUGAGAAGAUAUCGUCCAAAUAUCAUCAUUAUCGGGCUAAGCACCAGGAUAAGUCUUACAUUUAUCAUCAAGACCCUAAGUUUUAGGUGUUUCGUGAAGGGUUUAAGAAGCGGGAGGACCAGUUGGAGCGCAAGAUUGAGGAGUUGAGGGAGAGGGAUGAGAAGCUCGUGGGGGUUGUCUCCCGCAAUAGUGAGUUUGAGGCUUCCCUUAAGGCGAGGGAGGGAGCUCGAGUUGAGCAAGGGAUUGACGCUUGAGAAUGCCGACUCACAAGCGAAGGUGGCCGACUUGACCGUUGAGUUGAGUGCAAAAGCAGCAGAGGUUGAUGGGCUCAAAGGCGAACGGGGUGUUAGUGCCAACAAGUUAGCGGCGGCUAUUUUUGAAUUGGAAUCUUUAGAAGACGACCUUUGCAUUUCUAGGGCGGAGUUGACUGAAGAUAAGGAAGCCUCUGGUCAGCGGAUUGCAGUGUUCGAAGGGCGUAUGAGAGAGCUGGAGGUGGAGCUAGCUUCAAUAAAUGGUCAAAUGGCCUUGUUGAGUAUCGAUGCCCCCUUUUUCUCGCGAAAUUGGGUUUAUGACAUUUGGGAGGAUAACUCGUUUCCUUUUGGAAAUUGGAUUUGAAAAGUCGCCACCUAAUGAUUAAUUGCAUUAGGACAAUAAGAAGAACUUUGAUUUAGAAAACCAGAGAUUGGGUAAGUGCUUGAAAUUAUCCCGUGGAAAAGGUGUUAGGCACCCUCAGGAUCCACUAGUGCGGUUUUCGGCCAUACUAUAAUUGACUUUAAGUGCAAACAACAAGUGGACAAGUAAAGGUUACAAAUAUGAGGGGGUUUUCACACGAUUAUUGCAAGUAAUUUGAAGUUAAAACGAAGUUAAAGAAGCUGAAAUUUGAAAAGAAAAGUAAUUUUGAAAUUCAGAGGAAACGGGUAAUAAAAAAGAAGAAAUUUCACAUAAUUGUUGCAAGUAAUUGAAGUUAAAAGCAGUCAAAGAAGCUGAAAUUCAAGAAAAAGCAGUUUUGAAAUUCUGAAUAAAAUAAACAAGUAAAGGGAGGGUGGUUCUAGGUUUAUAAAUAAUCUGGAUCACCCCACACAACACCCGGUAACCUUUUAUACACGUGGUAUUAUCGCGUGGUCAUCAUAUCCAUGUCUACCUUUUUCUACCUCGUUAAGGUGUUAAACAUGGAAUUGUUUUGCUUUACUUAUUGCAUGCUAUUACCCGGCCCCAUCCUAUUAGUUUCGGAGGUAUUUGGGACCACUAAUCCUAAAGGGAAGGGUGUGAGGUUUUAUAGUUUCAAAGGACAAAAUUCUAAGGCGACCAUCAAAACACAUAUGUAACAAAACAUGGGGGAGAAGCAUAUAACAGAGAGAAAGGCUAAAAAACCUCCUUAAAACAAAGAGAAACAUAUCAUUUAACAUGCCUUACAUGUACUGAUUAGACUUAAGAUUGUGGCAGACUGAUCUAUUACAUAUUUCAUAUGAGAAGCCUGAGUUAUGCCUACAUGCUAGUUGAAGUUGAUAGAAACUGAUUCAGUUUACAAGUUACCUUAUGGUUUACCUAAGUGUCAAAUGAAAAACCUAUGGGCAUGAUAUCUAUUAGUUUCAGAAAAGAAGUAUACUAAUUUUAAGGGAAAGAAAUUGUCAAUUACAGGAAUAUAAAUUCUACAGUCGUUAUUAUUACUACUGAUUUUAGACUUACAAGCGAAUGGACAAUCUGAUUUCGUUGGUUGCUCCUAUAGGCAUACUUUCUAGGAGUUGUUGAUUUUAAACACCUUUUAUCGUCGAAAUAAGAGUGCAGUAGUCCUAUUGGCAUGGUAUCUAGAAUGUUGCUUGUUAAUUAAACCUAUGAACAAGUUUGCCUAGUGAUAGAUGCAAAUGCAAAAUUCAGGAAGUCCUAUAGGCAUAAUAUCUAGAAUGUUGUUGGUUAUUUAAACAUAUGAACAGGUUUGCCUAGUGAAAGAUGUAAAUGCAAAAUUCAAGAUGUCCUAUAGGCAUAAUAUUUAUAUGAUAUGCAGCAUUUCAGAAAUGACUUAUAGACAUGGUCUCUAUAUAAUGCAGAAGUACAAAAACCUAUAGACAUGGUCUCUAUAUGAGAUGCUAAAGUGCAGAAGCCUAUAGACAUGGUCCCUAUAUGAGAUGCAAAAGUACAAAAGCCUAUAGACAUGGUCCAUAUAUGAGAUGCAAAAGUACAAGUUGAAAAUGGGAUACAUGAGUAUAGAAGUGUAAAUAUUCUCUAUGAACAUGAUAUCUACCUUUUUUGCAUGCAUGAUUGACCCGCCCCUUUUCACUAACAGCCCCAAUAGUUAUUAAAGGUUAUUAAUACAGCCCAGGAUGAAUAAGAAAAUAAAACUACAUUAGAGAACUAAAAUUACAACCAAGGAGAGCCUGAUUCAGACUUCUUGUUAGAAGCAUGAAGUAAACCAAUCUUCAAAUAUCAUAUUCCAAAGACUUUCUCUUGUUUGGGAUGUGUCAGAGUUCCCUAAGAGUCUCAAAUGGACUCUGGGCAGUGCUCACAUCCAAAUAUAUUGCAGAAUUGAAUCAUAGUGCAGUAUGGAGGAGCCAACCCUCAAGUGUCCAAGUUCAGAGGGAAAAGUUAAAAACAAAUUAGUGUGUAAAAUAAACACACUAGGAUAAGGCGGAAAACCAAACUAGAACUUACGAGUUUCAGGGAAAUAAGAAAAGAAAGCAAUAGUCUUGUAAAGCCAGAGAGCAAGCAAUGCUAUGAUUAGAGAACUAUGAUACUUGAGUAGUGUAAAAGUGUUGAAUUGAAAGCUAUGUAAUUAAAAGUGUCUGAAAGCGUCGAAUUCAAAGUGUCUUGGUGAGAAAGGAGUCGUGCGCUUUUUAUAGUGUAGAAGGCAAGCAGAAUAAGGUAGGAGAAUAAUUUUAAAAUCAAUUACAAAAGUUUCCCUUUAAUUAAGCGAUUCUAAUUUCAAAUGGGUCAAAAUGAUUUAGGAAAGAGAUUGAUCAAAACCUUUUCCAAAGUAUUAUAAGAAGGGUAAAUACACAGGGAUUUAUAUAAGGAAAAAGUAUGAUAGCACACGGUUUGUGCAAAUAAGAAAAGGAAAUCAAUUAAUAACCAAUAAAUCACAAGGUCUGAAUUUUGGUAUGGAUGAAUCCAAUCAGAAAAGGUGAAAAAAGAUUUUACUUAAGGAAAACCAGUAACAACCAAUCAAACCAAAAACAAAAUUCUGAAUCAAUCAUAAGUUGGAAAACCUUUUCGGAAGAAAGAAUUCAUCACACAUAUAAAACAUAUAGCCAUGCUUAAGCACGAAGAACUAUCAUGCUAAUCAGUAGGAGAGCCUAGCAUAGAAAAAGUUCAGAGUCGUAAAUAAAGAAAUUCAAACUUAGCUCAUAGACUCAGAGUGAGUCUAAAAGUCAAGGAUCCCAAAAUAGAAUCCCAGUUCAAACACUUGACUAAACCUUGUCAAAAACCCCAAAAUUCCAGGGUCUCCACUUCGAAUUAGAUACAGAGACAAGGAGGCAAGUAACUGAAACGAACUCAGAUAUCUCUUUCACAGACUCACGAGAAAGCAAAUAGAUACACUAGCAAGUUCGAAACAACAGAGUAAAGAAACUAAUUUGAAGCAUAGUGAGAGUAGAAGGAACAUCUUUAAGAAAAAGAAAACCUGCACUUACACAAGUUCAGAAGAUAAAAAAGAUAGUAUAAUACUUAAGAAAACAGUAGGAGAAACAUGUCUAAGGGGAACUCAAACAAGGUCCGGUAGAAGGCAAACAAAGAACUAAAAAUUUAACAGAAAAUGCAGUAGAGAAACACAAGGAUAUCGGAAG
rnacentral:lncRNA from 1 species